rnacentral:lncRNA from 1 species
GAUUUGAGCAACACCAAAAUUAGACGAAAAUGGGGACUUGCCGGCCAUAUUCUCCGUUUCACAGCUACCAGAUCGGUAGCCUUAUCAGGUAUGGGUUAAUUUCCGAUCGUUAAACCCCCCAAUUCUAUGCCCUUGCUGAUUCCAAUUUCUCUAUUUCCUUUUUGAAAUUCUUCAGCUUUCAGCAUCUGAAGCUCUUUCAGUACUGCUCGUCUCUUCGUCUCCAAGGUUGGAACAGAGGCUUUCGUCUUCAAUAAACUUUAGGUAAAGCCCAUUUAUUGCUACUAGCUUUGGAAGAUUUUGAAUUCUAUUAAGAGGAAAAGCUGCAAACUUUCACAGAGCAUUUUCUGGUUUCGUUAUCCUACAGGACGGCUUUAAGGGUUAGUUGCACAUAAUGC